rnacentral:lncRNA from 1 species
AUGAGCGGGGCGGCCGGCCGCUGCGUGGGGCCCAGCCGGCCGGGGCGGGGGCGCGGGCAGCCGUGGGGGAGGCGGUGCCCCGCGGGGACGCCGCGAGGCCGGGGAGCGGGCCGUCGAGCCCGGGGCGCCGCGUGGGAGGCGCGCUGCGUGAGCGCGGACGGGCCCCCCGGCUUCGGGCAGCCGCCGGGGACGGGGGCCGCGGCGGGGGCGGCGGGGGCCGGGGGGCCGGAGGCGGCGGGGAGCCCUGGCGCCGCAGCCCCCGUAGCGAGGGCCCCGGGGGUCGUGUGGGUGGACGGCGCGGUUGGGGAGCCCCAGGUGGUGGGGCCGGUGGGGUCGGUGUGGGUGACCGGGGCCGGGCGGGAGGCGGAGAGGGAGGGGGCGGCGGGCCCGAGCCCCCGGGGCUGCGAGAGGAAGGGGCGGCCGGGCUCCGCGGGCCACGAGAGCAUCCUGGAACUGUGGCUAAAGGUGCAGGCCGUGCGGGCGGCCUCGGGGUGCGGGGCGGGCAGCAGGGUGCAGCUCCACCCGGUGCCGGUGGAGGGCCCGCUCGAAAGGGGCAUCCCGGGCCGGGCUUCCUGGGUGGAGACAAGCCGCGCUGGCCUCACGGGGCCCUGGGUGAAGGGGCAGGACGGGGUGGCCCCCCGGGCACCAGGACGGUCCGCCGCCCCUGGGCCAGGGGCUGGCUGGUGCGGGCAGCAGCAGGCUGUGGGGCUGCACCCCGGGGGUGUGCCCACCACCCUGGCCACCAGUUGUGGGCUUGUCCCCCACAUGCUGGGGAGGGGGCAGGCUGUGGGGGUGCCCCGGGCCCCGGGGUGGCCUGAGGCCAUGCAGAGAGAGGUGGGCUGUCCAUGGGACAGGGGGCAGUCGGCGCUGGUGCCCAGGGCGUUAGCUGGAGAGGCAGUCUGCGGGGACACCCCAGGCCUGUGGGGAAGUGGACAGGCUGCAAGGGUGCCUCAUGCCGUGGGGGCACCCAGAGGCUUGGAAGGGGAAGCCACCCUUGCGGGUGCUCUGGACAUGUGGCGGAGGAUGCAGGCUGCGGAAGAGAUGGGCUCCGGGGUUGUUCCCGGCAUAUGGGGCACUGGACAACCAGUUGGGGUGCCUUGUGCUACGGCGGAGGAAACCAGAUGUGGGGGUGACCCAGGAUUCAGGGACAGAGAACAGACUGUGUGGGUAGAGACAGGCUCUGGAGGUGAUCCAGGGCCCUGGGCAGCCAUGCAUGCCGCAGAGAUGUGUGGUCAUGCCACACAGGAGGUGGGCUCUGGGGGCGCUCCGGGCCCAUGGGGGGUAGGGCCGGGAAUGGGGAAGGACACCGGCUGUGGGAGCGUGCCAGGUCUGUGGGGGGCUGAGCAGCCGGUGGGGGUGUCCCAGGCUGUGCUGCUGCCAGGAGCUCUGGGGGAACAGGCAGGCUACGGGGGCACCACAGGCCCGUGGGAGAGGCAGCAGGCCCUGGGGGUGCCUCCGGCUGACGCGGUGCCCGGGGUCCCCCAGGGGGACACAGGCAACGGGAACGUGGGCCUGUGGGAAAGGAGGCAGGCUGUGGGGGAGCAGGACGCCCUGGCCACGGCUUUGGAGGUACCCGGGGCUGAGGAUCAGGAGGCUGGCUGUGGCGACAUGUCCUGUCUGUGCAGGAGGAGACAGGUUGUGGGCUCGUCUGGUCCCCAGGGGAUGCCCGAGGCCGCAGUUUUGCCCAAGCACAGGUGUGCCUUGGCUGGGGUACCUGCAGCGGUAGGUGUGCCUGGGCCUGGCAGGGGGCCUGCCGCCGUGUGGGUGUCUGGCCCUGCGUGUCGGGAAGACAGCUCCAGUGAGGUCUGGAACCUGUGGUCAAAGGUUCAUGACGCCGCGGGACCCGUGGCCCCCGGGGGACUGUGGUCUGUGGGUGAGGAUGCUGGUUCUGCAGCUUUUCCCAGGCCAUGGGGAAGGAGGCAGGCUCUUGGGGUCCCUGCAGCGCCAGGACUGGUUGGGGAGGAGACAGGCUCCGGGGAUGUCCCGAGAUCCUGGGCAAGGAGGCCGAGCACCAGGGCUCCUGGGGCUGCUGAGCCGCCUGCGGCUGCCGGGGAACCUGAUCUUCUAGGGGUGGAGGCCGGCUCCGGGGCAUUCUCAGGCCUGCCUGAGCGGAGGCUGACUGCGGGGGUGUCCGCAGCAGGCGGGGUGCCCGUGGCCCCCAGGACACUGAGGCCUGCCUGGGAGGAGUGCACUUCCGCAGGUGUUGCAGGCCUGUGGGGGCAGAGGGAGGCAGUGCCAGGACACACAGACACCUGGGCUCCCACAGGGCAGGGGGUGCCCAGCACCAUCAGGAUGCCAGGGCCCAGGGGGGACAGGCUGGGCCCAGGGGUUCCCUCAGGCUUAUUAGGGAGACAGGCUGCUGAGGUGCCUGUGAUGCUGGCCGAUGCUGGCUCUAGGGACGCCUCAGGGGCGUGGGGACAGAGAGGGGUGACGGAGGUGGCUGCUACUGUGGGGGCUGCAGGACCCGUGGACGGAACGGUCAGCGCCGAAAGCCUGUGGAGGAGAGCCAGCGGGUCAGCCACUGAGGCUGCGCAGGUGCCCGUGUCUCUGGGGGUGCUCGCGGCUGUAGGGGUUCCCACAAUGGGGCGUGUGCCUGCCGCCGUGUGGGUGACAGGGUGUGUGGAGGAAGAAGGGGCCUCGGGGGAAGAGGCUGGGGCCCCGAGUCUGGAGCCCCCUGGGGAGAGCCAGGCAGCGGGGUUGUCUCCAGCCCGCAGCUACAGAACUGGGUCAUGGAACAGUGGGAGGCCUGACCGGGGAGAGCCGGAGCUGGAGAGUGUGGGUACCGGGUCAGGGCCUGGGACCAUACCGAGGGUGGCCCCGGGUUUGAGGCUGGAGGGAGGCCGUGGCCGAUUGAGGGAUCACCCGCAGCAGGGUGGUGGUGGGGCCUCUGGAAGAGAGCCGUGUGGGGGAGGACAGGUUGAGGGAGGCCUCCCAGUAGUGUAG